rnacentral:rRNA from 1 species
GACGAACGCUGGCGGCGUGCUUAACACAUGCAAGUCGAACGAUGAAGCCGGAGCUUGCUCCGGUGGAUUAGUGGCGAACGGGUGAGUAACACGUGAGCAAUCUGCCCUUGACUCUGGGAUAACUGCGGGAAACUGUAGCUAAUACCGGAUACGACACCUUGGGGCAUCCCAGGGUGUGGAAAGAAUUUCGGUCAAGGAUGAGCUCGCGGCCUAUCAGCUAGUUGGUGAGGUAAUGGCUCACCAAGGCGACGACGGGUAGCCGGCCUGAGAGGGUGACCGGCCACACUGGAAAUGAGACACGGUCCAGACGCCUACGGGCGGCAGCAGUGGGGAAUAUUGCACAAUGGGCGAAAGCCUGAUGCAGCAACGCCGCGUGAGGGAUGAAGGCCUUCGGGGUGUAAACCUCUUUUAGCAGGGAAGAAGCGAAAGUGACGGUACCUGCAGAAAAAGCACCGGCUAACUACGUGCCAGCCGCCGCCGUAA